rnacentral:tRNA from 1 species
GUGGGAUUCCCAAGGUCUAAGCCCUUGGGGGUAGGGGUGAUCAUAUCUAGUCCUGCCCCUUCCGGUCCCAGGGCUCUUUGGACAAGGCGGCCUUGGCGCUACAAAUAAUAUAAGGAAAAGGAAUGUUGAAAAAGCCCUUGAGAAUAAAUAAAUAAGGAAGGAAGGACAGGAGGGAGGAACCGUCCGGGAGCCGCGGGCGUCUGCCUCCCCCUGCCCGGUCGCCGCCGACGGAAGGCGGGUGGCUCCCCCUAGCGCCGAGUGACAGCUCGCUCUCUAGUGGGACGUGGGCGGGGGCUGCCCGCAGGUCUCUGUGGCGCAAUCGGUUAGCGCGCUCGGCUGUUAACCGAGAGGUUGGUGGUUCGAGCCCACCCAGGGACGAGGCGGCCUUUUUAGAACCUAGAAAACGUCCUUUGGCGGGGGCACCACCGGAGGGCUGACGCCGAGGCCGAGGCCGAGGCCGAGGCCGGCCAUAAGGCCAUCGCGGACUCUGGAGGAGGAAAACCCAUGGCUGAGAAUCCGGAAAUCCUCGAAGGGCUGCAACCCUCUAAAUGCCUUUUAACAGUGCAGUUGCUGCCAUCCUUUGUCCCUUUCCUUAUACUCUUUCCGGUAAGUUGGUCCUAGGUGUUUAUGGUUACAGAUAACGGCUGUCAUCCUCGUUCUCGUGCACAUAUUUUUGGCCACCUGACAAAUAUUUCUGCAGGGUAGAGGCCCGGAAGAGCAAUUACUCUAACAUAGUCUUUCCACGGUUCCUAUAUCAUCCAAUUUGUUUUUCCCUGUUGACGGGUUAGUUAUAACUCUUUCUUUUGUUAUUUCAGCGACCGCUUCAGGCUUCAUAGCAGCACACACCUGUAACUUACCAGCCUCCCUCCAAGCCAUCUCCUACCUCUUCACAUUCCUCCAAUUUAAUAUCAUUGGAAGAACUUAAAGAUGACACUAGACCUUGAAAUUGCAGAUUGACUUGACAAAUGAUGGAGAAAUGCAUGUUCGGAUUUAUAUAAGAUACCUUAAAAGGUUUACCCGCCGUCCCCACCCCCACCCCCAAACUGUAAGAAUAACAAGUCAGUAUGAUGGCCAGAAUUAUAAGACUUAAUCUCCAUUAAAUUUUAUCAUAUAUGUAACUUACUGAAAUACAUACUUUGGUAUCGUAUAAGCUCUUAAAUAGUAUUGGAAGGAAAGCGUGUUCGUUAGACCAGUAGAGUAAAUUUAGGCAGCUAAGUGUCCCUAGGAGUUUGAAAAGAAAAUAAGCCCAAGACUUGUAUAAACUACAAUACUAUCUACCAAUAUUUUCUGCAUUAUUAGUAAAUCUAGAAGGCAACAUAAAGCAGUUUUUAGAUCAAAAUCAUCAAACCAAUCUGAUGCACACUAGGAGUCCUUUUAUGAAAUAUGACAUGAUAUAUACAUCUUCUGUGCCAUUAUAUAGAAAAUAUUAAAAUCCUUUGAAGUGUUUAAGUAUUUGAGAUUCAUCCUUACUGUCCACCUGAUUUUCUGUUCUUGUACCUAGCACUGAGACGACUCAUUUAUCUACAGCUAAACUAUUUCUUGGUUUUGUUUUUGUUUCCUUCCCUGAGUCACAGAUUCAGCGGGAAAGGAAAUGUGAGGGGCACCUGGCUAGCUCACUUGGUAGAGCAUGGGACUCUUCACUCUUGAUCUCAGGACUGUGAGCUCUAGCUGACACACCUUGGGUGUAGUGAUUACUUAAAUAUAACACCAGAAGAAAGUAAGAAAGAGAGAAAGAAAGAGAGGGAUAGAAAGAAGGAGAAGGAAGAAAACAAGGAAGGAAGGAAGGAAGGAAGGAAGGAAGGAAGGAAGGAAGGAAGGAAACCCCAUCAAUAGCAUCUUUGGACCCCCAGUGGGGGUCCGAGAAAUAGAAGCUCCGUCACUACCCCACUUUGGGGAGAGGCACAAUUGAAUACACACCUCAAAUCAGGUUGCCUGUGUCUGUUUGGACUCAGACUGGAGCUGGGACCAACUCAAGGCCAGGACAAGACUAAGCCCCAUCAUCACAGGGCAGCCACCUACCUGACAGCACCAAUGCAGAUAAUUCCAGAAAGCUCUUGAAAACUUUUCCCUUCCCUUUGGAGAAUUUUCCACCUGCUCCCUUCCCCCUCCCACCCCAGGAAAGGAUUCUUCAACUUUGGCUGGGCCAGGACCCUCUAAGAUCCCUGUAGGGAAGAGAGAGCCAGGAGGGCAGGAGCCAAGGGGGCAGCUGCACUUCCCUGAAGGGUCUCUCCCCGGGGUGGGAAGGUUCUAGAGCUCAGGCUGACCCUAGACCCACUGCCC